CUCAAGGGAACUCAGCAGUGAUAAACAUUAAGCCAUAAGUGAAAACUUGACUUAGUCAAAGCUAAGAGGGCCGGUAAAACUCGUGCCAGCCACCGCGGUUAUACGAGAGGCCCAAGUUGAAAGAGCCCGGCGUAAAGAGUGGUUAAGCUAGAAUUUAUACUAAAGCCGAACAUCCUCACGGCUGUUAUACGCAUCCGAAGAUAAGAAGCUCAACCACGAAGGUAGCUUUAUAUGUCUGAGCCCACGAAAGCUACGGCACAAACUGGGAUUAGAUACCCCACUAUGCCUAGCCCUAAACAUUGAUAGUACCCCACACCCACUAUCCGCCUGGGAACUACGAGCAGCAGCUUAAAACCCAAAGGACUUGGCGGUGCUUUAAACCCACCUAGAGGAGCCUGUUCUAGAACCGAUACCCCCCGUUCAACCUCACCUUUCCUUGUUUCACCCGCCUAUAUACCGCCGUCGUCAGCUUACCCUGUGAAGGUCUAAUAGUAAGCAAAACUGGCCAAGCCCAGAACGUCAGGUCGAGGUGUAGCGCAUGGGAGGGGAAGAAAUGGGCUACAUUCGCUGCAGCAGCGAAUACGGACGAUGCACUGAAACGUUCAUCUGAAGGAGGAUUUAGCAGUAAGCAGAAAGUAGCGUGUUCCGCUGAAACUGGCCCUAAAGCGCGCACACACCGCCCGUCACUCUCCCCAAGCCCACCAACUUAAUUAACUAAAACCUAAUAAUCGCAAAGGGGAGGC
rnacentral:rRNA from 1 species